rnacentral:lncRNA from 1 species
CGUACCUUCUCUUCUAUCUAUCUCCCUGAGAUUAGCUUUCCUUUUUCAGUUCAGAAACUUCUACUGCGGAUUCCGUCUGUAAGUAGUAGAGAGCUACAUUAGAAGAUGUGGCUGGAAUUUGAUGAUGGGGAGGAGAGGGAAAGACAAGUAAAGAGGGGCAGCCAAACAAACGGCUUCCAGAGUCCAAAUCCCAGCUACCAAAGAAAUCACAAACCAGUCUCCUAAAAGCAAUGAAAAAAAUGCUUGCACAACAAAACACAAGAACCAUUAGCAUCAAACAAGUUUUUACAGAGGAGGAGAAAAACAUGAAUACAGAGCAACCUGAAGAGAAGACCCGACCUCACUGGAGAGAAAGAAGAAAGCACAAGAUCUGCAACCAACAGUGAAGAUGGCACGUCCUUGGGCGGUAACAAGCCCGUGGAUGAGAAAAAAAAGAGAAAACUGCACGUCAGUGGACAAGGGACAAAAGAAAUACGAACUUUAGCCAAAAAAAAAAAAACAAAAAAAACAAAAAGAGGGGCAGACCAGAGGUAACCCGAAGAGAAGAUCUGACCUCACCGGAGAUGAAGAAGAAAGCCUAUUACAACAAAACAAAGGAGGAGGUCAACAAAAUUUUGUACCAGGUUCCAGAGGAUGCGGAUAAGUG